rnacentral:rRNA from 1 species
CAUGGCUCAGGAUGAACGCUAGCGGCAGGCUUAACACAUGCAAGUCGAGGGGUAACAGAGGAGCUUGCUCUUGCUGACGACCGGCGCACGGGUGCGUAACGCGUAUACAAUCUGCCUUACACUAAGGGAUAGCCCAGAGAAAUUUGGAUUAACACCUUAUAGUUUAUUUUUAUGGCAUCAUUUAAAUAAUAAAGUUUACGGUGUAAGAUGAGUAUGCGUCCCAUUAGUUUGUUGGUAAGGUAACGGCUUACCAAGACUACGAUGGGUAGGGGCCCUGAGAGGGGGAUCCCCCACACUGGUACUGAGACACGGACCAGACUCCUACGGGAGGCAGCAGUGAGGAAUAUUGGACAAUGGAGGAGACUCUGAUCCAGCCAUGCCGCGUGCAGGAAGACGGUCCUAUGGAUUGUAAACUGCUUUUAUACAGGAAGAAUAAGGACUACGUGUAGUCUGGUGACGGUACUGUAAGAAUAAGGACCGGCUAACUCCGUGCCAGCAGCCGCGGUAAUACGGAGGGUCCGAGCGUUAUCCGGAAUUAUUGGGUUUAAAGGGUCCGUAGGCGGGCUGUUAAGUCAGGGGUGAAAGUUUGCAGCUCAACUGUAGAAUUGCCUUUGAUACUGAUGGUCUUGAAUUAUUGUGAAGUGGUUAGAAUAUGUAGUGUAGCGGUGAAAUGCAUAGAUAUUACAUAGAAUACCGAUUGCGAAGGCAGAUCACUAACAAUUGAUUGACGCUGAUGGACGAAAGCGUGGGUAGCG